rnacentral:rRNA from 1 species
UAUCCUAACCGUGCAAAGGUAGCGCAAUCAAUUGUCCCAUAAAUCGAGACUAGUAUGAAUGGCUAAACGAGGUCUUAACUGUCUCUUACAGGCAAUCGGUGAAAUUGAUCUCCCUGUACAAAAGCAGGGAUAUACCCAUAAGACGAGAAGACCCUGUGGAACUUUAAAACCAGCAACCACCUUAGAUCACAUACUCACCCACCGGGUUCACUGACACAUAAGACACUGGUUCGCGUUUUUCGGUUGGGGCGACCUUGGAGCAAAACAAAACCUCCAAAAACUAGACCAAACCUCUAGACUAAGAGCAACCCCUCAACGUGCUAAUAGCACCCAGACCCAAUAUAAUUGAUCAAUGGACCAAGCUACCCCAGGGAUAACAGCGCAAUCUCCUCCGAGAGUCCAUAUCGACGGGGAGGUUUACGACCUCGAUGUUGGAUCAGGACAUCCUAGUGGUGCAGCCGCUACUAA